UACGUAGGGGGCUAGCGUUGUCCGGAUUUAUUGGGCGUAAAGAGCGUGUAGGCGGCCAUGUAGGUCCGGUGUGAAAACUCGAGGCUUAACCUCGAGAUGUCAUCGGAAACCAUUUGGCUAGAGUCCGGAAGAGGAGAGUGGAAUUCCUGGUGUAGCGGUGAAAUGCGCAGAUAUCAGGAAGAACACCAAUGGCGAAAGCAGCUCUCUGGGACGGAACUGACGCUGAGACGCGAAAGCGUGGGGAGCGAACAGG
rnacentral:rRNA from 1 species